rnacentral:tRNA from 1 species
GGAGCUUUAGUUUAACUAAAAUAUCUGUGUUGCAAGCAGGAGAUGUAGUGAAUCUGCAAGUUCUA